rnacentral:rRNA from 1 species
UACGGAGGGUGCGAGCGUUAAUCGGAAUUACUGGGCGUAAAGCGUGCGCAGGCGGUUUGUUAAGCGAGAUGUGAAAGCCCCGGGCUUAACCUGGGAACGGCAUUUCGAACUGUCAGACUAGAGUGUGGUAGAGGGUAGUGGAAUUUCCUGUGUAGCGGUGAAAUGCGUAGAUAUUGGAAGGAAUACCGGUGGCGAAGGCAGCCCCCUGGGCCUGUACUGACGCUCAUGCACGAAAGCGUGGGGAGCAAACAGG